rnacentral:rRNA from 1 species
UACGGAGGGUGCAAGCGUUAUCCGGAUUCACUGGGUUUAAAGGGUGCGUAGGAGGGCAGGGAAGUCAGUGGUGAAAUCUCCGGGCUUAACUCGGAAACUGCCGUUGAUACUCUCUGUCUUGAAUCCCGUGGAGGUGAGCGGAAUAUGUCAUGUAGCGGUGAAAUGCUUAGAUAUGAGGAGGAACACCUGUGGUGUAGACAGCUUACUGGACCAUUUCUGACGCUGAGACACGAAAGCGUGGGUAGCAAACAGG